rnacentral:tRNA from 1 species
GGGCCGUUAGCACAGCGGUGAGUGCGGGGGACUCAUAAUCCCUUGGUCGUAGGUUCGAAUCCUACACGGCCCACCA